UGGGGAAUUUUGGACAAUGGGCGAAAGCCUGAUCCAGCAAUGCCGCGUGUGUGAAGAAGGCCCUCGGGUUGUAAAGCACUUUUGUCCGGAAAGAAAUCCUUGGUUCUAAUAUAGCCGGGGGAUGACGGUACCGGAAGAAUAAGCACCGGCUAACUACGUGCCAGCAGCCGCGGUAAUACGUAGGGUGCGAGCGUUAAUCGGAAUUACUGGGCGUAAAGCGUGCGCAGGCGGUUUGCUAAGACCGAUGUGAAAUCCCCGGGCUCAACCUGGGAACUGCAUUGGUGACUGGCAGGCUAGAGUAUGGCAGAGGGGGGUAGAAUUCCACGUGUAGCAGUGAAAGUGCGUAGAGAUGUGGAGGAAUACCGAUGGCGAAGGCAGCCCCCUGGGCCAAAUACUGACGCUCAUGCACGAAAGCGUGGGGAGCAAACAGGAUUAGAUACCCUGGUAGUCCACGCCCUAAACGAUGUCAACUAGUUGUUGGGGAUUCAUUUCCUUAGUAACGUAGCUAACGCGUGAAGUUGACCGCCUGGGGAGUACGGUCGCAAGAUUAAAACUCAAAGGAAUUGACGGGGU
rnacentral:rRNA from 1 species